rnacentral:ncRNA from 2 species
GUUAUCUGCAAGGGGCGCCUGUGUGGCUGAGAUUGAACCCUGGAACCUGAUCUGGUUAACACCAGCGGAGGAAUGCAGCUGAUAAUUCAG